UGCAAGUCGAACGGUCUUUCUAUCGGAAGCUUGCUUCCGACUGGGAAGAUAGUGGCGAACGGGUGAGUAACACGUGGGUAACCUGCCCAUAAGAGGGGGAUAACAUCCGGAAACGGGUGCUAAUACCGCAUAGUUUUCUUGAUCGCAUGAUUGAGAAAGGAAAGACGGCCUUUGUGCUGUCGCUUAUGGAUGGACCCGCGGCGUAUUAGUUAGUUGGUGAGGUAACGGCUCACCAAGACGAUGAUACGUAGCCGACCUGAGAGGGUGAUCGGCCACAUUGGGACUGAGACACGGCCCAAACUCCUACGGGAGGCAGCAGUAGGGAAUCUUCCGCAAUGGACGAAAGUCUGACGGAGCAACGCCGCGUGAGUGAAGAAGGUUUUCGGGAAUCGUAAAACUCUGUUGUCAGAGAAGAACAAGUUGGAGAGUAACUGCUCCAGCCUUGACGGUAUCUGACCAGAAAGCCACGGCUAACUACGUGCCAGCAGCAGC
rnacentral:rRNA from 1 species